rnacentral:lncRNA from 1 species
UCAUGGGUAAUCUGUUCUUUCUCACUAUUUUAAAUUGCCAAUAAAAAUAUAUAUGGACCUAUUGCUGGAUUUUUAUUGUGUGUGUGUUUAUCGCACGAGCAGUCUGCCUUUUCUUUUACCCAUGGAAAACUGUUCAAAUUACAUUGCCUUUAUAUUGGUCUUUUGACUUCCUACUCACUGGACUAUUCCCCCUUAUUUUAUGUUUUUGGUUGCAACUGGGUACAACAGUUUGGAAAGAGAGGGAUCUUUUCU